UAGUUAUAUGCUUGUCUCAAAGAUUAAGCCAUGCAUGUCUAAGUACACACGAAUUAAAAGUGAAACCGCAAAAGGCUCAUUAUAUCAGUUAUGGUUCCUUAGAUCGUUAACAGUUACUUGGAUAACUGUGGUAAUUCUAGAGCUAAUACAUGCAAUUAAAACACGGACCUUCUGGGACGUGUGCUUUUAUUAGACUAAAACCAAGCGAUCAAUUGAUCGUUAUAUUGGUUGAACUCUAGAUAACAUGCAGAUCGUAUGGUCUUGUACCGACGACAGAUCUUUCAAAUGUCUGCCCUAUCAACUUUUGAUGGUAGUAUCUAGGACUACCAUGGUUGCAACGGGUAACGGGGAAUCAGGGUUCGAUUCCGGAGAGGGAGCCUGAGAAACGGCUACCACAUCUAAGGAAGGCAGCAGGCGCGUAAAUUACCCACUCCCAGCUCGGGGAGGUAGUGACGAAAAAUAACAAUACAGGACUCAUAUCCGAGGCCCUGUAAUUGGAAUGAGUACACUUUAAAUCCUUUAACAAGGACCAAUUGGAGGGCAAGUCUGGUGCCAGCAGCCGCGGUAAUUCCAGCUCCAAUAGCGUAUAUUA
rnacentral:rRNA from 2 species